rnacentral:rRNA from 1 species
UACGGGGGGGGCAAGCGUUGUUCGGAAUUACUGGGCGUAAAGGGCUCGUAGGUGGCCAACUAAGUCAGACGUGAAAUCCCUCGGCUUAACCGGGGAACUGCGUCUGAUACUGGAUGGCUAGAGUUUGGGAGAGGGAUGCGGAAUUCCAGGUGUAGCGGUGAAAUGCGUAGAUAUCUGGAGGAACACCGAUGGCGAAGGCAGGUCUCUGGGCCGAUACUGACGCUGAGGAGCGAAAGCGUGGGGAGCGAACAGG